AACCGUACCUAUCUGUUUUGUUUUCCUUAUACUGCUGCUACUUCUCACACGAUCUCCCUGCAUCAGCAAGACAGCGACAUCUGUAGAUCCGGAAAUUACAGAUCAGUGUCAGGAGGCAGGAGAUCAGCAGUCAAUUAUGGCAGGACAAAACAUUUUUAUAAUAAAUAAAAAUACUUGAAAUAAAAUAUUGAAAAAUGUG